rnacentral:tRNA from 1 species
GGGCCGUUAGCUCAAUUGGCAGAGCAGCGGACUUUUAAUCCGCGGGUUCAGGGUUCGAUCCCCUGACGCCCCACCA